AGUGAACGCUGGCGGUAGGCCUAUCACAUGCAAGUCGAACGGCAGCACAGAGGAGCUUGCUCCUUGGGUGGCGAGUGGCGGACGGGUGAGGAAUACAUCGGAAUCUACUCUGUCGUGGGGGAUAACGUAGGGAAACUUACGCUAAUACCGCAUACGACCUACGGGUGAAAGCAGGGGACCUUCGGGCCUUGCGCGAUUGAAUGAGCCGAUGUCGGAUUAGCUAGUUGGCGGGGUAAAGGCCCACCAAGGCGACGAUCCGUAGCUGGUCUGAGAGGAUGCUCAGCCAGACUGGAACUGAGACAAGGUCCAGACUCCUACGGGAGGCAGCAGUGGGGAAUAUUGGACAAUGGGCGCAAGCCUGAUCCAGCCAUACCGCGUGGGUGAAGAAGGCCUUCGGGUUGUAAAGCCCUUUUGUUGGGAAAGAAAUCCAGCUGGCUAAUACCCGGUUGGGAUGACGGUACCCAAAGAAUAAGCACCGGCUAACUUCGUGCCAGCCGCCGCGGUAA
rnacentral:rRNA from 1 species